UCGGAGCUUUUUCUUGCCAUCAUUUUUCUUCCUGGUGAUUUUACUCCGCCGUAACUAAACAUGAUCAAAUCACGUAACUAGUGAGCUCAAUGGAGUUAGUGGUUUCACUUAAUUUCUGAUGGUGUUCACGAUGGUUGGCUUUGUAAAUGAGGCAAGUGAUUUUCACUCAAUUUAUCGAUGUGAUUUUUAUCAAUCGAUGGGUUUAUGCUAAUGCACUUGGUGCAUGUUUUGAUCAGGUAUUUUUAUUACAAUUACAUCCUUGAAUAGUGAAGCUAGGGUUUAUACCCAGUUAGGGCUUUGUGAAAAUUUGAGGAUUUGACUUUAUUUCAGUUGAUAUUAAGUCAUGGGAUAGCUCCAUUUUACAUCAUUUCCACCGUGUUUAUGAAUCUGAAUUGUUUGAAUUGAUAAGUUAUGGUGCCAGUUGUAGAAUUAACAUUCUUCAUGUUAAGAAUUUGGGGCUUUCCCCCAAAUUCUGUUUAUACGGUCUAAGUCGACCCAUUUUGUGGUUAUUUGCAGGGAGAUUUUAUGGUUUAUAACUGGCUUGUGAGUAGAUAUUCUUGUCCUUGAGUAUAUUAGUGGGUUGAAUCACUCCAUUUGACUUUAUGUUUAGUCUUUUGAUUUUAUUUUCGAUCAAAAUAGUGUUCCAAUAGAUUAUUUUCGAUUUCUUAAGAAAAUGGAUGAAAUACUUGGGAUGACUUUUAACAAGAAAUGCUGUGAUAAUCUUAUUUCAUAUUUCUUCUUGUCUUUACGUGGUAUGAGAUAAUCAUGUGAUGUGCUGGAUUAGUUGAUAGUAAGAACUGUGUUGGUGCUGCUGCUUAAGUACGAAAGGAAAUGCAUUUCAUUAUCAUGACUUCUUACAAGGGAUUUUUUACUUAAUGCAUGGAAAUCUUAAGACUUUAGUAUCUGUGGUUGAAUGGUUUAGACCAUUAUUUUUAUUCAAUAUCUAUAUUCAUUUGUAUCAGCACAUUUUUUGAUGUCGGAUUAUGCUUUAGUACGAAAUGAAUUCUGUUUUAUAUUGAUUGAUGGGUUAACCUGAGGUGUUUGUAGCUGAUGGAAUGUUUUGAACUGGAGACUUAUAAUUUUUGACUACUCUUAAGGUGUUGUUUACAGCAACAUUCUCUAGACCAUCUUGCACAGUAAGAAGAGUGAAAUUGGUCACACCUACUGUACUGAAUAUUUUGUUCUUGCAAUAGUUUGCUUGCUAGACUAAGUGACUAACUGAACGUGUUUGAGAUGAGAUUUUAUUGUAGAAUCGCAAAGAAAACAAAAACCCAAACGUUCAGUUAUUGCUAGUGGCGGGUUACUAUGUAUCUUACGAAUUUCUGCCGUUUGCUUCCUUGGUUUGAUCUAUAUGCCAUAUCAAUGAUUGGUUUGACAGUGUCAUAUUGGACCUUUUACCUCUGCUGUUUAACAUCUAUUAUGAGAUCUAGGAAAGCUACUAGCGUUGGCUUAUUAGCUUGUGAGAUGAUUACUGUCGACUGUUUGUGGCAAUAAAGAACUGACAAAUAUUUGCCUGUUUAACCUCCUAUGGACCUAGACAAAAUGAAUGCAUUUUCUUCCGCGGAAAUGCAUGAUGUCCUAAUGAAAUUCACGUGUAGAAAGUUUGGCUAGUAUCCUAUGUUUUCUUAUCAACUGUUGUCUAAUAAGCUUUUCACCUCCUAUGGUGCCACUUUGUCUUUUAUUGAUCUAUUUUUAUUAUAAGGAAUAUGCAUCUCAUAAAGAUCAGUAGCAUACUAAGCAGGGCUAAGCCGUGUGUAUGGGUGUCAACGACGUGAUCCUGACUUUAGUUUUGUUAUUACUCUACUGAAAUUGAAAUGCAUAGCAUUUGUCGUGAUGGCAUGUCCAUUUUACAUUGGCCUCAUGAUGUUGUACAUUUGGUCUCUACCACCCCUUGGCAUAGUACUUUUUAGACUGAACUUCAUAUCAAAUCAUAAUGUUGUUUGUGCAUUCAUAUUAUACUUCGUUGUUGUCCGAUCUUGAUAUGAUAUUUCACGCGGUUUGUAUAGUAUAAAUAGUCCAGUUGUUUACAUGAUUUUUUGUUUAUGGCCUGACGAUGGUUAAGGAUAUGUACCUCAUAGUGGUAAGUGACAUACUUGAGUUUUGUGUUCCGCGUAGUUGAUAUCGUACUAACCUUGUUAGAAUAUUCUGUAUCAAUUUUUACGACUCUCCUUGUUAGCAGUAUUUGUGUUUAUAUGGGUGUAUUAUGUUGAGUCCCGUAUAUGGUUAGCUGCUUGUCAUGAAUUUAGUGUAUUAAAUGUAGACAUCCUUAACAAGCUCCAAGUCUUCAAUGAUGUCAUGCAGGUUAUUCUUGUUCUGCGUGGUUUAGUGUUUUUGGGUUAAUGUGGUUAAGCCUUCUUAUGGUAUUAAAGUAUAUAUGUUUACUGUGUAAUCAUUAAAUUUGUCACUUUUAGAUGAUUUCCUUAACUGUAUUCAUGCCGCCGAGACACUUAAAAUCUAGCCAGCUAUGGUAAAUGGUUGCUUUGCCACUCUAAAAGUUAUUAUCAGUAGAUACCAUUUGUCAAAGUGAGAGGUUUCUUAAUGUUUGUCAGUAAUGGUAAAAAAGGGUUAUGGGUUGUGAACUUAUUAGUACGGUGCUCCAGCAUCUUAUAUUCUUAUCCUUUAGAUAUCGUUUGGUAAUGUGAUAAGCUAGGGAUCGUCUUUGCAACGCAGUUCAUACUAUCUGUUGUUAGAGAUAGUUGCUGCUAUUAAUAUAUGAUAUACUAUCUAUCACUGCUAGUUACCAAGUAGUUAUCAUCUAGUAAGAGAUAGUUAUUACCAUUGUGGGUAGUUCAUACCAUCUACAAAGACUGGUGAACUACGGUCGUGCUUGGUCCCUGUCGAGCUAUGGGGGAUGGUACGCAGGCAGUCGUUUUGCGGUUCAGCACAUAUCUGCGAGGUUGUUCAUAUCGUCUGAAAAGAGUUGGUUACUGCUGGGAAGUUCAUACCAUUUAUUCGGAGAUGAUUGCAGCCUUGGCAGUGCAUAUAUAUCGCUGGUAAGAGGUAGUUGCAGUGCUGUCUGUUCAUACUGUCCAGUGAGGAGAUGAUUGCUGCUUUCCACCAGUUCAUAUAAUCUGAUAAACUACGUAAAACGUGAGAUGGAGAUGUUGCCAUUUGCGGUAUUUCAUAGCAUCUGAGAAGUAUGGUUGCUGUCAUGGUGGCUGUUCAUACCAUCGAUCUAGAGAUGAUUAUCAGCUUUGUUGAGUAGUUCAUAUUGGCUUUUGAGGCAUUUGCCCAGAGUUGAGAAGAACUUGUUCAGAGCCUCCACGCCGCUUUAGGUAGAGCAUUGUUGAACUCACUAAGAGUCUAAGACUUAGGUCUUUAAUUCCAAGACCACCAUAUUUCCACUCAAUUGAUUGAUGUGAUUGUUAUCAAUCAAUGGGUUUAUGCUAUUGCACUUGAUGCAUGUUUUGAUCAGGUAUUUUUGUAAGCAUAGUAAAGCUAGGGUUUAUACCAACUUAGGGCUUUGUGAAAAUUUGCGGAUUUAACUUUAAAUUCAGUUGAAUUAAGUCAUAGGAUAGCUCCAUUUUACAUCAUUUCCACCAUGUUUAUGAAUCAAAAUUGUUUAAAAUGAUAAGUUAUGCUGCCAAGUUUUAGAAUUAAGAUUCUUCGUGGUAAUAAUUUGGGGCUUUUCUCCAAAUUCUGUUUAUAGGGUCUAAGUUGACCUAUUUUGUGGUUGUAUAAAGAGAGAUUUUGAGAUUUAGAACUGGCUUGCGAGUAGAAAUUCUUGUCCUUGAGUUUAUUGGUGGGCUGAAUCACUCCAUUUGAGUUUAUAUUUAGUCUUUUGAUUUUGUUGGUCUCAACUACAUAAAAAUUGUGCCAUUGACUUUGUUAGAUUAUUUUCAAUUUCUUAAGAAAAUGGAUGAAAUACUCGAUGACUUUAACAGCAGAUGCAGUGAUUAUCUUAUUUCCUAUCUCUUCUUGGGUUUACAUGGAAUGAGAUAAUUGUGUGUUAUGCUGGAUUAGUUGAUAGUAAGUACUGUGUUGGUGCUGCUUAAGUACGAAAGGAAGUGCAUUUUUUUAUCGUAACUUCUUCCAAAUGCAGUGAUUUUUACCUAAUAUGUGGCCGUGAAAUCUAAAGAUUUUAUUAUCUGUGGUUGAAUGGUUAGACCGUUGUUUUUAUUCAGUAUCUAUAUUCAUUUGUAUGAGCGCAUGUAUUGGUGUCGGAUUGUGCUUUAGUAUGAAAUGAAUUUUGUUUUUAUAUUGAUUGAUGGGUUAACCUGAGGUGUUUGUAACUGAUGGAAUGUACUGGACCGAAGACUUAUAAUUUGUAAAUGUUAAUACCAUGAAAUUUUACACUACAGAAUGCUAGAUUUAUGUCCGGACACUUGGUCUGGGAAAAUAUAGAUGAUCUCACCAUGACAACUCUUUAGGUGUUGUUGACAGCAACUUUCUCUAGGCCACUUUGCACAACAAAACAAGUGAAAUUGGUCGCACCGAUUGUAGUGAAUAUUUUGUUCUUGCAAUAGUUUGCUACUUUGCUUGCUAGACUAACUGAAGUAACGAACGUAUUUGAGAUGAGAUUUUGUAGUAGAAAUGUAAAGAAAACAAAGACCCAAACGUCCAGUUAUUGCUAGUGGCGAGGUUACUAAGUAUUUUUGAAUUCCUCCGUUUUAGCUUCCUUGGUUUGAUCUGUAUUCCAUAUCAAUGAUUGGUUUGACUGCGUCAUAUCGGACUUUUACAUCUGCCGUUUAGCAUGUAUUAUAAGAUUUCUAGGAAAGCCUGGCAUGUGAGAUGAUUACUGUCGACUGUUUGUGGCAAUUAGAAAUGACAAAUGUUUGCCUGUUUACCCUCUUUGGACCUGGAAAAAAUGGAUGCAUUUUCUUCUGUGGAAUUGCACGAGGUCCUAUUAAAAUUCACGUUUUGAAAGAUUGGCUAGUAUCAAUCCCAUCUUUUCUUACUGUUGACUAAUAAGCUUUUCACCUCCUACGGUGCCGCUUUGUCUUUAAUGAUUUAUUUUUAUAAGGAAACUGCGUCUCAUAGGGAUCAGUAGCAGACUAAGCAGGACUAAGCCGUGUGUAUGGGUGUCGACGACGUGAUCCUGACUUUGGAGUUUGUUAUUAUUCUACCAAAUUUGUAAAGAGUUAUGUCAGAACUUGGCCUGUGCUGGAUAUGCUAGAGGAAUCAAGGAAAUGCGUGGUCAUUUGUCGUGCUUGCGUGUCCAUUUUUACAUUGGCCAUGGUGUUGUACGUUUGGUCUCUACCACCCCUUGGCAUGGUACUUUCUAGACUGACUUUUAUAACGAUUCAUCAUAAUGUUUUUUGUGGAUUAAUAUUACUUUUCAUUGUAGUUCGAUCUUGAUAUAAUAUUUUAUUUGGUUUGUGUAAAUAGUCCAGUUGGAAAUCAACAAGCUCCGAGUCUUCAAUGAUGUCAUACAGGUUAUUCUUGUUUUGCGCGGUUUAGUACUUUAAUGUUGAAAUUAGAUUGGUUACGCCUUCUUAUCGUAUUAAAGUAUAUAUGUCUAUAACAGUCAAUUUGUAUACUCAUUAAAUUUGUCACUUUUAGACGAUUUCCUUGACUGUAUUCAUGCCGAGGCACUUAAAGUUAUCUGGCCAGCAUUUUGAUGGUACAGAAUUACUUUGCCACUCUAAAGGUUAUUAUAUGUAGAUGCCAUAUGUGCAAAUGGGAGGUUGCUUAAUGUUUGUUAGUAAUGGUGAAAGAGUUAUGGGUUGUUAUAAAAAUAUUGGUAUGGUGUCUCCGGCAUCUCAUUAUUCUUAUCCUUAAGAUACCGUUGGUAAUGUGGUAAGCUAGGGAUAGUUGUUGCAACGCAAUUCAUACUAUCCGUAAAUAGAGAUAGUUGCUGCUAUGAUAGGAAGUUCAUACUAUUUACCACAGGAGAUGAUUGCUACCUACCAAGUAGUUCAUAUCAUCUAGUAAGAGAUAGUUACUACCAUUGUGGGUAGUUCAUACUAUCUACAAAGACUGAUAAACAACGGUCGUGCUUGAUCCGUUUCGAGCUAUGGAGAAGGGUACGCAGGCAGCCGUUUUGCAGUUCAGCACAUCUGUGCGAGGUUUUUCAUAUCGUCGGAAAAGAGUUGGUUAGUGCUUGGAAGUUCAUACCAUACGGAGAUAAUUGCAACCCUGGCUGUGCACAUAUAUUGUGGGUAAGAGGUAGUUGCAGUACUGGCUGUUCAUACUGCCUAGUGAGGAGAUGAUUGCUGCUUUCCAGUUCAUAUCAUCUGAUAAACUGUGCAAAACAUGAGAAGGGAUGAUUGCUGCCAUUCGAGGUAAUUCAUAUCAUCUGAGUAGGAUGGUUGCUGUUAUAGUGGCUGUUCGUACCAUCGAUCCAGUGAUGGUUACUAACUCUGUUGAGUAGUUCAUAUUGGCUUUUAAGGCAUUUUCCCAGAGUUGAGAAGAACUUGUGCAGAGCCUCCAUGCAGCUUUAGGUAGAGCAUUGUUGAAGACACUGAGAGUCUAAGACUAAGGUCUCUACCACCGUAUUUUUUAUCUUCACACAGCUUACUCCAAGUAAUAAUAUAUAUUCUUUACCUGUAGACUCGCCUUGCCCAUUCUUUACCUGUAGACUUGCCUUGCCCCACCAGAAUUGUCUUUGGAGCUUGGAAGUAGAAAAGAGUAAUACUAGACACACCGAGACGGUAGUCUGGGAACGAAUCUAACGUCAGGCCGACUUUUAUUUACAAUCCUCAGGUUAAAAAUCAAAUUGGCAGUUUCUUCUACUGAUCUUUAACCUGAAGAUUGUAAAUAAGUACCAAUGCUUGCAGUUAUCUCCUAACAUUCCCAAUAUACCUGCCAACAUUAAUCUGUCCGAGAUGCUGUUUUUACUGGGCUAGCAGGCACAAUGUGUACUACAAUUGUUGUGUAGGAGUGUAUUGGUGAUUGUUUCUUGGUUGAAUUACCAAAAUAUGUGAGUGAAAUUGAUUUUCAUUGUAUGUGGUUUUAUUGUCUCUAAGAAAGUGAUUUUCAUUUCACCCUUUUUGUACUGUUUUAUUGAUUCAGGAUUAUGAGAAAGGUUUAGUGAUUGCAGUAAUUCCUUUCACGGUUUCACCUCGAAGGGAUCCAUUUACUGAUCUUUCGUUUGCCUUAUUAUAUUUUUUUCUUCUUUUAAUAAAGAAUCAGUGACAGUGACAUAUUGAUUCAAAGUGUUUUGAAGUAUCUCAUAUUCCUAUACAGACUCGACCAUUUUAUAAUCUCGUACAAGGAAGUGAAGCUUUAGUUGUUUUUAAACAUGAUUCUGGAACUAUGCCAAUCCAGUCUUGCAUAUCAACCCCUAAAAUCCCUGGACCAUGGGAAUUCUUUAUUUGCUUGCUGAGAUUUAUGCUCUAUCAAAUCUAAAGAUAAACCUCAAGUUUGAACAUCUAGGUAUAUAUUUCAUCCCAUUUGUUUAUGGGAGCUUGCUUUGUUACAUUCUUUCACGCAAUCAAUUUGAUCUCACUGCACCUUUUUACUCAUUUGGUUUUCCUUUAUUAUGUGUUUUGCAUCCUAAGUUCUAUUUAAGAAUCUUGGAGUCAAGCUGACCUCGCUCUUGAAAGAUCGUUCCAGGAAGUUGAAGGAGAUCCUGACUUCUCCAAAAAAGAUGUCACAGCCAGCCAACCCCUAGUUAUUCCUGAAGUUAACGCACCAGUAAGUGUUGAACCACAACCUGAGAUUGCGAAUUAAUCUCUUCCCGGGUCAGUCAAAUGCAUCACGUCAGAAUCCUACUCAUCAUCGUUCUCCAUUGACUGAGGAUGAAAAGAUGCCAGCUUCAGUCUGGGGCUUCCUGUCACUCCGUCUCAGUCGCCAUUUUCUGUUAGUCAGACAAGUAUUACUUGUUUGAUGCAGCGCGUGUACACAUACAAAGGGUUUUAUGCAUGAAUUACGCGAUUAGGUUGCUAAUGAGUUAGAUGCACUUUAGGGUCUAGUGUAGAACAAUGUACGCUAAAUUCUAGUGGUGGUAUGGACUGAUUGGUAAUGGUGGAUGGAGCAGGUGAUAUGAAGGUGGUCAUGAAGCGGUGAGUGGCUGGUGAUAAUGGUGGGCCGUGAAUGAGCUGAUGGGUUGGUUUUCUAUUAGUGUAGGGUUGAGUUUGGUGUUUAUCUUUACACAGCUUACUCCAAGUAAUGAUACAUAUUCUUUACCUUUAGACUUGCCCCACCAGAACUGUCUUGGAACUUGGAAGUAGAAAAGAGUAACUCUAGACACAGCCAAGGUUCAAAUGGCUUGUCUUCAUCUGCCUGAUUCUACCUUGAAACAAAUGGAUUCAAUCCAAUGUUGGUAUUGGUGGAAUCACCGGCAACCAAGAGGUAUGUCUUUCAAUUCUUGGCCUUCUGUUUGUUAUCCUAAACGUGAUGGUAGGUUGGGGUUUAAGAAUCUACGAGCUACAAAUGAAGGUUUCUUAACUAAGUUAGGUUGGGGCAUGAUUAACAAUCCUGAGGCUAAAUAUUCUCAUAAUCUUAAUCUGCUUCAUGAAGUUCUCACAACUAAAGGCUCUUGGGUCUGGCAAAGCAUACAAAGGGUGUUAAAAUGGGUCAAACAAUUCCAUGUUUAGGAGAUAGGGGAUGGCACUGAUGUAAGAGCUUUCCAUGAUAACUGGAUUCCCAGUACUGCCAUUAAUACUUCAGCCACUCACUCUUCUACUUUAUUAGAUGUUAAGGUCAGCUCAUUUAUACUUCCGGCGUCUUAUUCCUGGGAUGUGUUUGCUCUUCAGCAAUAUUUUUCUCCAAGUCAGGUGCAAACUACCACUUCUAUUCGUCUUUCUAAUGCUGGUCAUGAUACUCUGCGAUGGUCUUUAACUAACAGUGGUGACUUUACUCUAAAGUCAUAAUAAAGCAGCUGACCAGCUUGCUAAGUUUGCGAGGUCUCAAGUUUGUAAUAUACAAUGGUGGUACACUCCGCCAGUUGUGCUCCAGCCUCCAGUCUACUGUUACUGGAUCUCUGUAAGUUCUGGUUUGUUGAAUGAAAGUUGUGUUCCUUUUCAAAAGAAGAAAAGAAGAAAAAACAGCCAAGAAUCACCCGUUCCUAUGAUAGAUAGACAGGGAAAAUAUACGUCUGUAUUUUCAUUCACUCCUAGUUAGCUUCGGGAAGGUAAAAGGGUGAUGAACAACGAGUCAAGGGCCGAUUAUUGUUCUUAAUACGUAACAUAUAUCAUAAAAUGGUAAGAAUAGGCAAUCAAUCAUAACUCUUACAUAUUAAAUCAAGAUCAGGAAUCAUAGAACCGAAAUGAAAAAUUGAAAGAA